rnacentral:rRNA from 1 species
GCUUACGGCCAUACCACCCUGAACGCGCCGAUCUCGUCUGAUCUCGGAAGCCAAGCAGGGUCGGGCCUGGUCAGUACUUGGACGGGAGACCGCCUGGAAUCCAGGUGCUGUAAGCU